CGAAAUUCAUCAUCCCUUCCGCCUUUUCUCUCAUUGUUUUCGACGACGAUUAUUUGCCGCCAUAUUUCUCAUCCUUUUUUCAGACGACGAUUAUCUCCGGUCAUCCACUGCUAUUUCCAUAUCGUCUUCCCAAAACAUUCAUGCUAGCAACACAUGAAAAGCAAUUAUACACUUCUUUUUCCCAAAGCCACGAUUUGCUUAGAUCCUGACGACAACACUAACUUGAUGCCUUCAAAUGACUCUAGUCUCUCUGUUUUAACGCUUCUCUGAUUCGUUGCUACUUUGAUUAUUAGCAAAUGUUUGAAACAUCACAAACGCCUUUUGGUGCUUGAAACGAUCUAUAUCUUCAUUGAACUCUUUCAUCUUUGGAAACUAAAUAUUGCUAGCAGAUGGAGGAGUAUUCCUUUUAUGCAAGAGUUAUUUGCUAAUCAAGAUCGCCUGUCAAGCUGAUCUAGAUCAGUUAAUUGUGCCUUUGAUGCUGCACUAACAUCCCUCCUCUUGGAUUACUAAGCAAUGUUGUCACUAUCACAAUAUCAACAUCAAUCUCGACUGUGAAGACUCUCAAUAUAAGGAUUAUGGUUUGAUUGUCACUUGUCAGCUAAUGUUGGGAGUUGACAAUAAUAAUGAAGGUGUCAAUGCCAUAUUUUGUAGCCUUCUACAAUGCCAAGUAAAUUUGUAAAAAAAUUAAACUCUGAGGUGUCUAUCACCCACCUUCUUUUCAUUUGUUUGAUGUAUUACAAAUGAAAAGAAAUCUCAUGUGAUAUGUGUUCCAUUAUUGUUUACCUUUCCAAUCAACUUUUUUAUUUUGAAUUUUGUUCUAUGUACAUCCAUACCAUAAGUGCUAAUCCUUGUUUGAUCUGUUUUGAUCCUUAUUCAAUCAUCUCUCCAGGUGGUAACUGCUCCUAUGUCUUCUAUGAGUGGAAGAGUUGUUGAAGCAUAGAAGUGUUACAUAAUAAUUCCGAUUAUUCACUCUGUCCAGAUGUGUGUUUCUCAUACUUAUGAAUAUAAAAUCCAAAUUUAUAGGCUUAUGACAGAAAAAGUUAAACCAAACAUUAAACAUUAAACUUCAGCAAGAGAAGACUGGGAAUGUGAUUGGUGUUGACUUUUGAUGCAUAUUUACUUUUCUAUUUGAAGUGUUAUUGAUGUUGUUGUUGUACCAUUUAUUGGUAUGAGCAACCAAUUAAUUUACUUCAAACAUUCACUGGGAAUUUGGAUUCACUCCCUCCCUUUCAUCCAAGUUCAAAAGCAAAACUUUUUCCCUUGAUCCAAGUCAAACAUUGUUGAAGGGAUGAUGGGGGAAUUCCAGUCCCUUUAUAUACUACACUUGGAGGAGUUAGACAUUUUACAGAAAGUUUAACUAAAUGAAGGGAACUCCAAACAACAUAGAAAGAAGAGAAACAAAACUUGGAUAACUUUGCUUGUAUGAGGUGUUUGAGUUGGAGUUGUAUUUGGGGGAGUUUGACAUUUAUCAUCCCGAGCUACUUGUAAGGUACUUCUGAUGACCGCAGGAAGGCGAAUGUGUGAUCAUCCACCUCCUUAUGUUUUUAUGAUUUGAUUAUGGGAUACUUUGACACUAAACCAUUUUGAAAACAAAUUUGUAAUAAUUAUUGAUUUUUUAAUGAUUUAAAAAGUUUUAAAUUUGA